GCGGAGGGAUCAUUACAAGUGACCCCGGCCUAACCACCGGGAUGUUCAUAACCCUUUGUUGUCCGACUCUGUUGCCUCCGGGGCGACCCUGCCUUCGGGCGGGGGCUCCGGGUGAACACUUCAAACUCUUGCGUAACUUUGCAGUCUGAGUAAACUUAAUUAAUAAAUUAAAACUUUUAACAACGGAUCUCUUGGUUCUGGCA
rnacentral:misc_RNA from 1 species